rnacentral:rRNA from 1 species
UGGGGAAUUUUGCACAAUGGGGGAAACCCUGAUGCAGCGACGCCGCGUGAUUUAGAAGGCCUUCGGGUUGUAAAAAUCUUUUCUAUGGGAAGAAAAUGACAGUACCAUAGGAAUAAGGACCGGCUAAUUACGUGCCAGCAGCCGCGGUAAUACGUAAGGUCCGAGCGUUGUCCGGAAUCAUUGGGCGUAAAGGGUACGUAGGCGGGUAAGCAAGUUAGAAGUGAAAUCCUAUAGCUCAACUAUAGUAAGCUUUUAAAACUGCUCAUCUUGAUGUAGGGAAGGGAAAGUGGAAUUCCUAGUGUAGCGGUGAAAUGCGCAGAUAUUAGGAGGAAUACCGGUGGCGAAGGCGACUUUCUGGCCAUACCCUAACGCUGAGGUACGAAAGCGUGGGUAGCAAACAGG